GAUGAACGCUGGCGGCGUGCUUAAUACAUGCAAGUCGAACGAAGGACUCCUUGUAGCAAUACGGGGAGGCCUGAGUGGCGAAUGGGUGAGUAACACGUAGGUGACCUGCCCCGAAGUGUGGAAUAACAGCCCGAAAGGGCUGCUAAUACCGCAUACGGCCUCCGGAGUUAGAGGUCCGGAGUCCAAAGGCUGCGCAAGCGGCCGCUUUGGGAGGGGCCUGCGGUCCAUCAGCUAGCUGGUAGGGUAACGGCCUACCAGGGCGAUGACGGAUAGGGGGCCU
rnacentral:rRNA from 1 species